UACGGAGGGUGCAAGCGUUAUCCGGAUUUACUGGGUUUAAAGGGUGUGUAGGCGAGCUUUUAAGUCAGUGGUGAAAUCUCCGGGCUCAACCCGGAAACUGCCAUUGAUACUAUUAGUCUUGAAUUCUGUUGAGGUAGGCGGAAUAAGUCAUGUAGCGGUGAAAUGCAUAGAUAUGACUUAGAACACCAAUUGCGAAGGCAGCUUACUAAACAGAUAUUGACGCUGAGGCACGAAAGCGUGGGGAUCAAACAGG
rnacentral:rRNA from 1 species